GACGAACGCUGGCGGCGUGCUUAACACAUGCAAGUCGAACGGAAAGGCCCUGCUUUUGUGGGGUGCUCGAGUGGCGAACGGGUGAGUAACACGUGAGUAACCUGCCCUUGACUUUGGGAUAACUUCAGGAAACUGGGGCUAAUACCGGAUAGGAGCUCCUGCUGCAUGGUGGGGGUUGGAAAGUUUCGGCGGCUGGGGAUGGACUCGCGGCUUAUCAGCCUGUUGGUGGGGUAGUGGCUUACCAAGGCUUUGACGGGUAGCCGGCCUGAGAGGGUGACCGGCCACAUUGGGACUGAGAUACGGCCCAGACUCCUACGGGAGGCAGCAGUGGGGAAUAUUGCACAAUGGGCGGAAGCCUGAUGCAGCAACGCCGCGUGCGGGAUGACGGCCUUCGGGUUGUAAACCGCUUUCGCCUGUGACGAAGCGUGAGUGACGGUAAUGGGUAAAGAAGCACCGGCUAACUACGUG
rnacentral:rRNA from 1 species